rnacentral:SRP_RNA from 1 species
CCGCGCUAUGCCGGGGAGGUAGCGGUGCCCUGUAGCCCGCGAACCGCUAUAGCGGGGGCGAAUAACCUGUUUGAGAUAGUUUCGUCUGCGGUUGCGGCACAAAUUAGCGGCGUUGAUGGUCGCGUCCUUUACAACGGUGGGCUACGAACCGGGUCAGGUCCUGACGGAAGCAGCCCUAAGUUGAAACUGCCGUGUGUAGAGGGUAGCGUGGCCGGAGUUUGCUAAUAUGUGUUUGCGCCGUGGAUGGGCUCCGAUACAGGUUGCGCGG